rnacentral:rRNA from 1 species
CGGCAGCACGGGGGCAACCCUGGUGGCGAGUGGCGAACGGGUGAGUAAUACAUCGGAACGUGCCCUGUAGUGGGGGAUAACUAGUCGAAAGAUUAGCUAAUACCGCAUACGACCUGAGGGUGAAAGCGGGGGACCGCAAGGCCUCGCGCUACAGGAGCGGCCGAUGUCUGAUUAGCUAGUUGGUGGGGUAAAAGCCUACCAAGGCGACGAUCAGUAGCUGGUCUGAGAGGACGAUCAGCCACACUGGGACUGAGACACGGCCCAGACUCCUACGGGAGGCAGCAGUGGGGAAUUUUGGACAAUGGGGGCAACCCUGAUCCAGCAAUGCCGCGUGUGUGAAGAAGGCUUCGGGUUGUAAAGCACUUUUGUCCGGAAAGAAAUGGCUCUGGUUANGACCCG